rnacentral:pre_miRNA from 1 species
ACAGUCUACCCGGACAGGCCGACUUGCGCGCGUCGCCCUGCCCGGAUAGACAGUCC